rnacentral:rRNA from 1 species
ACGCGAAAGCCCCCUUCGGGGGGCAAGUAGAGUGGCGCACGGGUGAGUAACACGUAGGUAAUCUACCUUUGGAUGGGGAAUAACCACCGGAAACGGUGGCUAAUACCGCAUAAUGCAGCGGCACCUAAUGGUGACAGUUGUUAAAGCGGGGGAUCGCAAGACCUCGCGUCUGAAGAGGAGCCUGCGGCAGAUUAGCUAGUUGGUAAGGUAACGGCUUACCAAGGCGAUGAUCUGUAGCCGGCCUGAGAGGGCGGUCGGCCACACUGACACUGACAUACGGGUCAGACUCCUACGGGAGGCAGCAGUCGGGAAUUUUGGGCAAUGGGCGAAAGCCUGACCCAGCAACGCCGCGUGAAGGAUGAAAUCCCUCGGGAUGUAAACUUCGCAAGAACGGGAAGAAUAAGUAAGGGUUAAUAUCUCUUACGAUGACGGUACCGUUUGUAAGCUCCGGCUAACUCCGUGCCAGCAGCCGCGGUAAUACGGGGGGAGCAAGCGUUG